ACCAAUGAUGAUAUAUCCAAUUAGUGGAGUUGCAAAUGGUGCCGAGUUCUUGUGAAAACAAGGAGAACCUACUUGGCGUUGCCUUUGCAUUUCAAUGACACCAUUGGGUACUAACUGAGGU